UACGUAGGCAGCGAGCGUUGUUCGGAAUUACUGGGCGUAAAGAGUGUGUAGGUGGUGCUCUAAGUUCGGUGUGAAAUCCCCCGGCUUAACUGGGAGGGUGCGCCGAAAACUGGAGUGCUCGAGCGUGGGAGAGGAAAGCGGAAUUCCUGGUGUAGCGGUGAAAUGCGUAGAUAUCUGGAGGAACACCGGUGGCGAAGGCGACAUCCUGGACCAACACUGACGCUGAGGAGCGAAAGCCAGGGGAGCAAACGGG
rnacentral:rRNA from 1 species